UGGGGAAUUUUGGACAAUGGGCGCAAGCCUGAUCCAGCCAUGCCGCGUGCAGGAUGAAGGCCUUCGGGUUGUAAACUGCUUUUGUACGGAACGAAAAGGUGCCUUCUAAUAAAGGGCGCUCAUGACGGUACCGUAAGAAUAAGCACCGGCUAACUACGUGCCAGCAGCCGCGGUAAUACGUAGGGUGCGAGCGUUAAUCGGAAUUACUGGGCGUAAAGCGUGCGCAGGCGGUUUUGUAAGACAGAGGUGAAAUCCCCGGGCUCAACCUGGGAACUGCCUUUGUGACUGCAAGGCUGGAGUGCGGCAGAGGGCGAUGGAAUUCCGCGUGUAGCAGUGAAAUGCGUAGAUAUGCGGAGGAACACCGAUGGCGAAGGCAAUCCCCUGGGCCUGCACUGACGCUCAUGCACGAAAGCGUGGGGAGCAAACA
rnacentral:rRNA from 1 species